CAGAGAUUAGUUUAAUAAAAAUAUUAGUUUUGGAGAUUAAGGAUGGAAGAAUUUUCUAUCUCUGA
rnacentral:tRNA from 1 species